rnacentral:rRNA from 1 species
GGCAAAAUAGGGNCAGUCGAGCGAGCUUGCCUAGAUGAUUUUAGUGCUUGCACUAAAUGAAACUAGAUACAAGCGAGCGGCGGACGGGUGAGUAACACGUGGGUAACCUGCCCAAGAGACUGGGAUAACACCUGGAAACAGAUGCUAAUACCGGAUAACAACACUAGACGCAUGUCUAGAGUUUGAAAGAUGGUUCUGCUAUCACUCUUGGAUGGACCUGCGGUGCAUUAGCUAGUUGGUAAGGUAACGGCUUACCAAGGCAAUGAUGCAUAGCCGAGUUGAGAGACUGAUCGGCCACAUUGGGACUGAGACACGGCCCAAACUCCUACGGGAGGCAGCAGUAGGGAAUCUUCCACAAUGGACGAAAGUCUGAUGGAGCAACGCCGCGUGAGUGAAGAAGGGUUUCGGCUCGUAAAGCUCUGUUGGUAGUGAAGAAAGAUAGAGGUAGUAACUGGCCUUUAUUUGACGGUAAUUACUUAGAAAGUCACGGCUAACUACGUGCCAGCAGCCGCGGUAAUACGUAGGUGGCAAGCGUUGUCCGGAUUUAUUGGGCGUAAAGCGAGUGCAGGCGGUUCGAUAAGUCUGAUGUGAAAGCCUUCGGCUCAACCGGAGAAUUGCAUCAGAAACUGUUGAACUUGAGUGCAGAAGAGGAGAGUGGAACUCCAUGUGUAGCGGUGGAAUGCGUAGAUAUAUGGAAGAACACCAGUGGCGAAGGCGGCUCUCUGGUCUGCAACUGACGCUGAGGCUCGA